AUGCAGAGUCAAGUCAGAGCAGCAGAGCUGUAGAGAAAAGAAUAGGCGUGCUACUUGUGAGCAUCACAUCGUCUCUUCAGAGACAUUAGGGCAAGUGUCUUACUAGAGGUCACAAAAGGGCAUUCCAACAUGGGUGGUUUUAUGAUCACUGGCAAGUAAGAGUCAGUCUUGAGCCCAGGCCAGUACUAGCCCAGGAGAUAACAAGCCAGAUAACAAAGAUAUGAAAGGGCAAUUCCUACCCAAAGACAAUAUGUGAGGCAGUGAGUGAUGCAAUGGGCAUUUUUCCAGGAAAGGAAAGACCACGGUGAGUCCUGGACUGUGCUUGAGCUGGGCUGUUCCUGAGAUGGAGAGGCUUGCACUGAAGAGGCCUGAAUGGAGCAGAGACACCUACCUUGCCUGAGCCUUGGGUGUGUUCAGCUUCCAGAAGGGACUUUGUGCUUCUCACUGCUGUGCAGUAUUCCACUGUCACCCCCAAAGCCUCAUGCACUCUGAGGUGAGGCUUGUGGAAGGUGGUUGGAUUGAGAGGACACUACAGCUGACUUAGUGUUAGGAGAUGGGCCCUGAUCAGAAGAGGAGUCAUUGUGAGUAUGACCUGGAAGUGUGUACCCCCCACCCCCCGCUCCUCCCUUCUCUCUGCUUCCUGGCCACUAUGAGGUGAACAGCUUGUCCUCUACCAUGUCUCUCCGUCACGCUGUCCUGCCUUGGAGCCAGCUUACUAUGCACUGAAAUGUGAGCCAAAAUAAAGUUCUCUCCUUUUAAGUUGUAAGCAUCAGGUACUGUGUCGCAGCAAUGAGAAAGUGACUAUGACAAACAUAUGGACCAUUCUUAAAUUUGCUUGUUAUGAACCAAAUGCCUAUCUUGUGGUGAACAAAAGCACCCAUUUCUUUUGGACAUGUAUACCCAGCAGUAGACACCAUUAAACAAGGUAUAUGUAUGCCUAGUCUUAGUGGUGCUUCCAAAGCAGUUAUCUAUUGUACACUCCUACUAGCAUUUCUUAAUUGGAGUGUCUGUCUCUUGCUUAUUGAUUUGUAUAAUUUCUUACAUAUUUUAAAAAUUAUGGUCCUUUUUCUAAUAGAUGAGUUAUAAUUCUCUUGUCUCAGUCCAUAGUUUGUUUCUCUCAUAGUGUCUUUU
rnacentral:lncRNA from 1 species